rnacentral:lncRNA from 1 species
AAUUUUAAAACAACACUAAAGAUCAUAGGCUUAAGUAUAUAGAGCGUAUAUCGAAAAAUUCAAUAUUUUCGUUGGGGUUAACACAUAGAUUUUGAAUUUUUUUCAAAAAAAUAAAAAUACUAUUUUAAUGCAUAAUUUCAUCAUUCACCAACAUAUGAUGAAGGUUAAAGAGGUUUGGAACUUUUGUUGUCUUCGUUUCUCUAGAAAAUAGCGAUUUUAUAAUGGUUAGUCCACCAAUUUAGGAAGUAUUAUGAAGUUUUGCUAAAUUAAUUGACAAACAAUUUUAAAAGAUGCCCAAGUACCAUGAAAAAGAGUUUAAUAUACAUU